rnacentral:lncRNA from 1 species
GGCCAAUCAGUGCGUCGGGCUCCGAACACAAGGCCCUCUCUCGGCGGCCUCAGGGUCCGGCUUUCUUCCAGGCUGCCUUCAGCAGUGCCUGACAAACUGCCUAAGGAAACGUUGCCACGCAGACAUUCGUUUCCCCCAGGCUUGCCUUUGCGCUCGUUCUCUCUCUCGUUUCUCACUGUUGCUGGUUAAUCGCUUCAGGAGCUAAGGGGGGAAAUGGCGAUGGGGAUGAGAGUGGAGAUAAACAGAAAGCUAUGUGCUGGCAAACUGGCCUCUACAGUUCAAGGUUGGAGAACCCCAGCCAAUGCCCCGAGGGCGGGACAGAACCCAGGCGCCAAGCAGUAUCCUCAGGCUGCUAAUUUGCUGGACACACAGAGUCCUGUUCUGCAACCUCCCCCUAGGUUGUGGGUGAGUGGAACCCAUUAACAUUUAAAAAUAUUUGCAGAAAUCAGAGGGGGGAAAAGGUAUUUCUGGAGGGCCAGUACUCAGUGCACUUUCAUGCGUGCCAAAGUUUGCUGGCAUGUCUCAGGCUUUGAUAGAGAACAUCUGGGCAACUGCUGCUGCAGCAUGUAGAUGGGGCGGAGGGCAGGGAACAAAGGGGGCCUGUGAGAGAAUGUUCGAGUGGGGGAAAUGCUCUCCGUGAAGGAGGCCUUACUUAAUGUCUAUUCCAUGCUCAGCUGUGGGAGGGGAAUAAGGAGAGGAAUGGAAGGUUUUGCCCUCACGUGGCCUCGAUAAUGAACACUGGAGACUGAGUGGCAGCAUAGAACUGGCUGGUUGGGUUGCAGAGACCCUUAUUUCCACCACUAGACAGACAUGCAUCUCAGGGUGAAGAUGCAGGCAACAGCAGUCACCACCACCAGUGGCAUCCUAAUGCUACUGCUUCUCCUAGAGCCUGUUUGUUGGAAGCCAAGGGAACAGAAGAUGGAUUGGGGAGGACAGGGGAUUCUAUUUUCAGUCGACAUAGAUUUGACAUUGUUUCCCCUAUUGCCAAUUCCAUUCAUAUGAACAAGAUGACAUGUUUUGAAUAGGUAUACUUCAAACACAAAAGUGCUCUUAUUAACUGAAGCUUAAGGUCAGACUGUUGGAAAUUUGUCAUUUAUGAGUAGGAUUUUGUAUCAGAUUCUGAUUUAUGUAUGCCUUACCUUACUCAGUAUCCAUGUAUAUGUAAGAAAAAUCCAUCUUUAGAUAUUUUUCAAAUCAUACCAAUGCUGAUACAUGAUAGGAACCACUGUAGUUCUUUAUAAGAAUGAAUUAACUAGUACUCCCUUUACUCAGAUAAUGAUUGUGGCUAUAAGCUAGCCUAUGUGUUCUCAUAAACAUGAUGUAUAUAUUUCAUUUAUAGUAUCUUUCCUUACUUCUUCCCUUUCCUCCCAGCUCAUUGCUUACCUUGUGACUGAGCUCUGAAAAACUAGCUCCACAUUUUUAAUGCUGCCGAGAGCUCCCUUCUCUGUGGAUUCAUCUAAGACAACAGAUAUUAACACUUGAAACUGAUACACGAUUGUGAUGGCAGUGGAGUCAGUACCAACUGACCCAAGUAUUCCUAGCCUGUGGAAUCUUUAGACUCACUUAAUUCAUUCAACAAAUACUUAAGCGCCUACUGUGUCAUGAACUUCAGGGACAUGAAAUUCUGCAAGAUAGUCUUUGCUUUUCAGUACCAGGAGCCCCAGAUAUUAUACUUAAUAUUUCAAAUAGUGGAUUCUGGGUUGUUUGAAAAUCAGUAGACAGCCUUUUUGUCAUUAAAUUUCCUUUAUUGCUCUGAUGCAUUUUAUUUUAUAGUGACUCUGACUACUUCAGAUUGUUCAUAAUAUUUUAAAACUUAUGUUAUUAAGAUUGUUGAUUCUGCUGUUCAAAACUGUUAGUAAAAUGAUAAGGUUUCCUUAUGGCUUUGAAUUUUAGGUGCUUUGGUAUCCAUGAUACAUAUAUAGUCAUGCGUCACGCAAUGACAUUUCAGUCAAAUACAGACCACAUGUAUGAUAGUGCUCUCAUGAGAUUAUAAUACCAUAUUUUUGUGGUCCUUUUUCUAUGUUUAGAUAUAUUUAGAUAUACAAAUAAUUACCAUUGCAUUACACUUGCCUACAGUAUUCAAUAAGUCACAUGUUGUACAGGUUUAUAGCCUAAAAGCAAUAGGCUAUAGGUGUGUAGUAGGCUAUACCACUAUGUUUAAGUCCACUCUAUGAUGUUCACAAAACAACAAAGCCAUCUAAUGACAUAUUUCUCAGAAUGUAUCCCCAUUGUUAAGCAACUCCUGAUUGUGUGGGUGUGUAUAUAUAUGUGUGCGUGUGUAUAUGUGGUCCAAAAUCAAUUUUAUAAUUAAUAUUGGUCCUAAGUUCAGAAUUUAUUUCAACUGUUUAUGUUAAGAAUUACAUUUUGCUAGAUCAUAUGAUAGUUUUAUUUUUACUUUUUAAUUUUACUUUUUCAUAAUGGCUAUACUAAGUUACAUUCCUGCCAACUGUGUGUAAUAGUUCUCCUUUCUCUGCAUCCUCACCAGUGUUUGUUCUUUUUGUCUUUUUGAUAAUAGCCAUUCUAACUGGGGUGAGUUGAUAUUUCCCAAUGGUUUUGAUAUGCAUUUCCCUGAUGAUUAGUGAUGCUGAACAUUUUUUCAUAUACCUGUUGGCCAUUUGUAUGUCUUCUGAUCCAGUAAUCCCACUACCGGGUAUAUAUCCAAAGGAAAAUAAAUCUGAAUGUUUAAUAAAGAUCUGCUAUCCCAUAUUUAUUGCAGCACUAUUCACAAUAGCCAAAAUAUGAAAUGAACUUAUGUGUCCAUCAGUAGAUAAAUGGAUAAAGAAAAUGUGGCAUAUGCACAAUGGAAUCCUAUUUAGCCAUAAAAAUGAACAAAAUUGUGCCAUUUGCAGCAACAUGAAUGAGCUUGGAGGACAUAAUGUUAAGUGAAGUAAGCCAGGCAUGGAAAGAUAAAUACUGUACAUUCUCACUUAUAUGUAGAGGCUAAAAAAGUUGAUCUCAAGAAGUAUGGAGUAGAAUAGUCAUUACUUAGAGGUGGAGAAGGGUAAGGGGGUGGGGAGAUAAAGGUUGGUUAACAUACAAAUACUAGAUAGGAGAAAUAUAGUUCACAGCACUAUAGGGUGACAUAACAACAAUUUAUUCUGUAUUUUCAAGUAGUAGGAGAGAAGAUUUUGGAUGUUCCCAACACAAAUGAUACAUAUUUGAGAUGAUGGAUAAGCUAAUUACCUCAAUUUGGUCAUUAUACAUUGUAUACAUAUUUUGAAGUAUCACACUGUACCCCAUAAAUGUAUACAAUUAUCUGUCAAUUAAAAUAAUAAUAAUUUUUUAAAAGAAAAAAAUUACAUUUUCCCACUAGUAC